GCCUGGGUGGCUCAGUCGGUUAAGCACCUGACUUUGGCUCAGGUCAUGAUCUCACGAUUCGUGGGUUUGAGCCCUGCAUCGGGCA
rnacentral:tRNA from 1 species